AUACUUACCUGGCAGGGGAGAUACCAUGAUCACGAAGGUGGUUUUCCCAGGGCAAGGCUUAUCCAUUGCACUCCGGAUGUGCUGACCCCUGCGAUUUCCCCAAAUGUGGGAAACUCGACUGCAUAAUUUGUGGUAGUGGGGGACUGCGUUCGCGCUUUCCCCUA
ensembl:snRNA U1 U1 spliceosomal RNA